rnacentral:rRNA from 1 species
GACGAACGCUGGCGGCGUGCUUAACACAUGCAAGUCGAACGGAAAGGCCCUGCUUUUGUGGGGUGCUCGAGUAGCGAACGGGUGAGUAACACGUGAGUAACCUGCCCUUGACUUUGGGAUAACUUCAGGAAACUGGGGCUAAUACCGGAUAGGAGCUCCUGCUGCAUGGUGGGGGUUGGAAAGUUUCGGCGGUUGGGGAUGGACUCGCGGCUUAUCAGCUUGUUGGUGGGGUAGUGGCUUACCAAGGCUUUGACGGGUAGCCGGCCUGAGAGGGUGACCGGCCACAUUGGGACUGAGAUACGGCCCAGACUCCUACGGGAGGCAGCAGUGGGGAAUAUUGCACAAUGGGCGGAAGCCUGAUGCAGCAACGCCGCGUGCGGGAUGACGGCCUUCGGGUUGUAAACCGCUUUCGCCUGUGACGAAGCGUGAGUGACGGUAAUGGGUAAAGAAGCACCGGCUAAUUACGUGCCAGCAGCCGCGGUGAUACGUAGGGUGCGAGCGUUGUCCGGAUUUAUUGGGCGUAAAGGGCUCGUAGGUGGUUGAUCGCGUCGGAAGUGUAAUCUUGGGGCUUAACCCUGAGCGUGCUUUCGAUACGGGUUGACUUGAGGAAGGUAGGGGAGAAUGGAAUUCCUGGUGGAGCGGUGGAAUGCGCAGAUAUCAGGAGGAACACCAGUGGCGAAGGCGGUUCUCUGGGCCUUUCCUGACGCUGAGGAGCGAAAGCGUGGGGAGCGAACAGGCUUAGAUACCCUGGUAGUCCACGCUGUAAACGGUGGGUACUAGGUGUGGGGUCCAUUCCACGGGUUCCGUGCCGUAGCUAACGCUUUAAGUACCCCGCCUGGGGAGUACGGCCGCAAGGCUAAAACUCAAAGGAAUUGACGGGGCCCCGCACAAGCGGCGGAGCAUGCGGAUUAAUUCGAUGCAACGCGUAGAACCUUACCUGGGUUUGACAUGGAUCGGGAGUGCUCAGAGAUGGGUGUGCCUCUUUUGGGGUCGGUUCACAGGUGGUGCAUGGCUGUCGUCAGCUCGUGUCGUGAGAUGUUGGGUUAAGUCCCGCAACGAGCGCAACCCUUGUUCACUGUUGCCAGCACGUUAUGGUGGGGACUCAGUGGAGACCGCCGGGGUCAACUCGGAGGAAGGUGGGGAUGACGUCAAGUCAUCAUGCCCCUUAUGUCCAGGGCUUCACGCAUGCUACAAUGGCUGGUACAGAGAGUGGCGAGCCUGUGAGGGUGAGCGUAUCUCGGAAAGCCGGUCUCAGUUCGGAUUGGGGUCUGCAACUCGACCUCAUGAAGUCGGAGUCGCUAGUAAUCGCAGAUCAGCAACGCUGCGGUGAAUACGUUCCCGGGGCU